CCUACGGGAGGCAGCAGUGAGGAAUAUUGGUCAAUGGCCGCAGGGCUGAACCAGCCAAGUCGCGUGAGGGAUGACGGUCCUAUGGAUUGUACACCUCUUUUUUCAGGGAUCAAAGGGCGCCACGUGUGGCGCUUUGCGAGUACCUGAAGACAAAGCAUCGGCUAACUCCGUGCCGGCAGCCGCGGUAAUACGGAGGAUGCGAGCGUUAUCUGGAUUUAUUGGGUUUAAAGGGUGCGCAGGCGGAAUGUCAAGUCAGCGGUAAAAUUUCGGGGCUCAACCCCGUCGUGCCGUUGAAACUGGCGUUCUUGAGUGAGCGAGAAGUAUGCGGAAUGCGUGGUGUAGCGGUGAAAUGCAGAGAUAUCACGCAGAACUCCGAUUGCGAAGGCAGCAUACCGGCGCUCAACUGACGCUCAUGCACGAAAGCGUGGGUAUCGAACAGGAUUAGAUACCCUUGUAGUC
rnacentral:rRNA from 1 species